rnacentral:rRNA from 1 species
GAUGAACGCUGGCGGCGUGCCUAAUACAUGCAAGUCGAGCGAACAGACGAGGAGCUUGCUCCUCUGACGUUAGCGGCGGACGUGUGAGUAACACGUGAAUAACCUACCUAUAAGACUGGGAUAACUUCGGGAAACCGGAGCUAAUACCGGAUAAUAUAUUGAACCGCAUUGUUCAAUAGUGAAAUACGGUUUUGCUGUCACUUAUAGAUGGAUCCGCGCCGCAUUAGCUAGUUGUUAAGUUAACGGCUUACCAAGGCAACGAUGCGUAGCCGACCUGAGAGUGUGAUCGGCCACACUGGAACUGAGACACGGUCCAGACUACUACGGGAGGCAGCAGUAGGGAAUCUUCCGCAAUGGGCGAAAGCAUGACGGAGCAACGCCGCGUGAGUGAUGAAGGUCUUCGGAUCGUAAAACUCUGUUAUUAGGGAAGAACAAAUGUGUAAGUAACUAUGCACGUCUUGACGGUACCUAAUCAGAAAGCCACGGCUAACUACGUG